CUCAGUGUAGCAUCUGGCACGAGGAAAGCACUUUGUUCAACAAAUAUUUGUUACUUGCUGUCACGAGGACUAUGGAGAUGGAAAGACAAUCAAUCACCCUGCUGGGUCGGUGGACUCACGGAACAAGAAAGUUUCAUUUUUACCUUCCCAGGUUCCUCAUCAGCUAGGAACAAUGCACAUUUUCCAUUUCACCUCCUCCCUUUUCCAUGAAGCAGCGGGAAAAAAAAAGACAGAUUACUGAUUUUUACUUAGUUAUACAAAAUUAAAUAUGUACAUAGUUUAAAGAAUCAACUUUACAGCACUUUAAUGCUUUAAUUUUUUGUAACCAACAUACUCAGUAUAUCCUUAUAUAACUUUUUCUUUCAUUCAUCUAUUUUUUAAAAUUGAAUUUAAUGUUUUGUUUGUUUGUUUUCUGUUUUUUGAGACAAGGUCUUUCUGUGUAGUCCAGGCUGGCCUUGAACUUGCUGUGUAGCCUCAGCUGGCCUCAACCUCUCAAAGAUCCUCCUGCCUUAGCCUCCUGAGCGCUGGGAUUACAGGUGUGUGCCAGAGCAUUUCUCUCCACAGUGUCAGGCCCCAGGGAAAGCUGCUUUCGCCACCAGGCCAGCUCUCAGGGUUCGGCAGCUAAGAAGAGAUGAAGACGGAAAGCAGGAGCUCUCCGAUGUCCCCCGGUAUAGACUGCUUCAUGUGGAACACUGCCAACUUCAUCUAGGAUCAAGCUUGCUUCCGGGCAUGAAGGAAGUUCCAAAAUUAGGACAGGACAACUGUAAUAAAAACAAAGAGAUUAACAACUGUCAAAGAAACUGGAAGAAACUGGAAACUUCAUAUGCUUCUGGUGGGAAAGCAAAAUGGUAUAUCCACUUUGAGAAAGUCUGACCAUCCUUGGAAGUGCUAAAAGUAGAGUUACUGUAUGAACCAGCAUUCUAGCCCCAUGUAUCUAUCCAAAAGCAAUGAACAUAUGUCCACACAAAUAUUCACAGAAACUUUAUUCAUAUUAGCCCAAAAGGGACACAACCUAGAUAUCUGAUAAAAGGAUAAAUCUGAUAUAUCCAUCCAAUGGAAUAUUAUUUAGCAAUAAAAAGGAAUAGAAUACAGAUAGAUUCUACAAUUUGUAUGAAUCUCAAAAACAUACAUUAGAUGAAAGUUGCAAAAGACCACGUAUUCUGUGAUGCCACUCAUAUAAAAUGCCUGGGAUAGGCAGAUUCUCAGAAACAGAAAGUAGAGUAGCGGUUGCCUAGGACUAGGGGUAGCAAAGGGAUAGAUGAGGGGUGGAAAUGAUGAGUGGCUGCUAACAGAUACAAAAUUUCUUUUGAGGAUGAAGAAAAUAUUCAAAAAUGAAUUGUGGUGAUGGAUGAACAGCUCUAAACAUAUUAAAAACUAAUGAUAUGAUUGAAAUGGGAACCUUAUAAAUUAUAUCUCAGUACAUAUGUUUUAAAAAAGCAGGUUCUUAUGCAUUCUUGAAAAGACACCAGAUUGUUUGGUUCACUGCCCUUAAAAAAUGUUCUCAUUAUGGCAUGAAGGGGCAUGACACAGGAUUGGCCUAAGCGAUUGCGAGUAAUAAAAAUUGGAAACAGAGAAGGCGCAGGGAAGGAGGAAGGUGGAAGCAGGGGUGGAGAAUGGAACUAAAGAACAGAAGAGAUGCGGCCAGACAUAGAGUCACAAAUCAUCUCAAGACUGGAAAACCAGGUGUGAGAAGGGGAGGAAAUGGGGAGUGGAGUCAUCAGGCUUCUCUACCGGAACUGUGUAGGGUCGGGAGUGGGCCAGUGAAGCCCAAGGCCACAAAGCCAAUGUUGAGAGGAGAAAGGCCUCACUGGUGCGUGAAUGUGCAAGGUUAUGUGCGGCUCGCAGGCUCAUUCAGUAAGAGUGCAUGCACUGCAGCCAAUCGGAAAAAGGAGUUGGCUGCGGCUGCUGAAUUUAUAUGCAAGCAAAAUGGUACAGCACUUUGGCCAAGAGCCAAGAGAUUAUCCUGCGGUAACUUUCUAAGAAAGUGUUCCUUGGCCUAAGCAGAAGCUCAUGUCUAGGAUCUUAUUUGUACAGCCCCUUGGUGCUCAAGAUGGAUAUUUUUCAUGGGGUAAGUUUUAAUUUCUAAAAAUGUUCCCUAAAUUCGUUUUUUAGACAUGUUGGAUCUGACAUGUGUCCUGUUUUUUAAAUAAAAAUUAAAAAAUAAAUACACAGGGCAAAUUAAAUAAUACAGUGGUGAUUCGAUGUAUCUGGUAAGACACGCACAUUAUCAUCAUCAUCUCCUGAAAGUUCCAAGUAUGUCAAGAUGAUCAUACUGCGAUCAGGCUCUUCUUGUGUGUCUUGGGCUCUCCCACUCAAGCUGGCCUCUUUCUGUGACCCAGUCAUGCUGGGUAGAACAAAGACAGAACAGCUGUGACCAGGGCUUACUCAUCUGUACAGUCACUAGAUAAUAAAUUACAAACUCUAAUAUAAAUGUGCAAAAGCCUCCUCAGGAUACAUGUCACUUCUGUGCAUAUCAUUUUAAUUUAAUUUGAAUCUUCAUAGAAACUUCUCCGUCUCUAGAUGAGGGUUUAAAGCUUAGGUAGGAGGUGACUUGUUAAGAUCUCUCACUAUGCCGUCUCUCUUCAAGUAAAUAAACAUACAGUACUCAAACCUUUCUUUAAAAUGAAAUCCAACCUCUCUCUUCUUUCAUAACUAAGAUUUUUCAAAGAGUAGCUUACCCUCUUUUUUUUCCUAUAGUCAUAUCAUUAAUUUUCCAUGUUAAAAGAAUGUAAUGUACUCAGGUCACAAGUGGAAAAUGCACACCUGGGGAGUGCAGUCAUGCAACUCCUGUAUUUGGAUCAUGCAUAAGUAUUACAAACAGCGUGAAUGUCCUUGACCACUGAAGAAAGAGGCAAACUCUGGCAGGCAUCCAGACUUGGGAAACUUGCGCAUUCCCCUGUGCUUCCCAUUCCCACUCCCUCCUCUCGGAAGGGAAGUCAGAGAGGAAGGGAAGGAGAGAGAGAGACAGGCAGGGAGGAAGGAAAAGAGGGAGGAUGGGAGGGAAAGAGGAUGGGUGAGAAGGAGGAUAGGAGGGAGGGAGACACGGAGAGAGGAAGAAAGGUUUUAAAUCCAAGUUACCUGUCUACAAAUUCCAUUCUUUCUCAUUUAUUAGAUCCUUUCCAGUUCACUGCUAUCGGGGUUGCUAAAACCAAGAGCACAUUUUUACCACUUGUGAAGAGAGGCCUGUGAGAAACGGUUCCGCUCUACUCCAGAAUUGUUUCCCUCACCUUCUGUUACAAUGCCUAAAAUUUCUCCAAUUAAGCUUCAGUUAUGAUCUAGACCUUGGAAGAUCUUCUGGGUUGAGACCACGGAAGCGGAACGCAAGUGGAGAGAAUGCUGCCAGGGAAGGGGGUGGGCCUGAAGGCAGGCUUCAUCUACUUCCCAGUACUCCCAGAGUCAGCGCUGCUCACUUGCAGGACAGAAAGUAUGGUGCAAAGAGGUGAGUGAGGAACUGAAUGGGCUUGGUACACAGUAAGUUCUCCCUCCCCUCCCAGCUGCACAAACAAUAUUUCCUGUUCUGUUAUCUCAAGUGUGAGCUUGGCACUCUGUGAAAAUGCAAGUGCCCACUUCCAGCCAAGCCAAGCAACCUUUUCUCGAGAGUGAGAUGGCUGACUCUGUUCCACGUGUUCUAGCUCCAGGGCCAUGGAUUAGCACCCGGCUCUCACCUCCUCAGAGUCUGAGGUAGUGAACUUGGGGAGGUGAGUUAUACAGCCACCGUGCGUCUCUAUACUGGGGAGUUCCCAACCUUCCACGCGUUUAAAGUCUAGACUAUGUAUUUUCCUACACAUUUUAUUCUAUUUCCUACAAUUCAACUGUGAAGAAUUAGUAUCUCCUUUGAGAAAAAGGGAACAAGCUGGGCAUGGUGGCCAUGCCUAUAACCCCAGUACCCUGGGAGGCUGAGAGAGGAGGAUUGCAAGUUUAAGUCUACUUUGGGCAAUUUAGCAAAUUUAGAAGACCCUGUCUAAAACACACCCGCGCACGCAUGUGGCGUGGCAAAAACUAUAAAGCCAGUGAAAAUAUGUCUUUGUUGGGUUAUAAAGUGAAAGUUUGGGCCACCAUUUAAAAAAGAUUUCAGGCAGACAGCAAAGGUAUUUUUGAAGAACAUAGGGGCAUUCAUGUGGGAAUUAUCACAUGCAGGGAGCUCCUAAGAAACACUCUAGGGUUUGUAUGCUCAGAGUUGGACUAUGCAGGGAGCUAAGAUGAAUUUACUUCCCCUUGGGGACUUUCCCCCAGCCUCUACAUUUCUGGUGGCUUUUCUGUUAGCAUCACUACCUAGGCUACUACCUGGUGGUGUGCAUGGUGACCCUGCAAGGCUGGAUCAUGGGAAGCGGAUGAAUAGGCUGUGCAGACAAUGCAGCAAACUCCAUGGCUGCCUACUUCUCCAUUAGACUCCCCAUGAGAGGGUGCAGCCUGGGUCAUGCUGGGCACUCAGCAGCUUUGUGGUGGGUAUUGGUUUGUGCUUCCUCCUCUUUGCUUUCGAUUCAGUGCCUUCCUGUUGCAGUCUGAACAGUUCUAAUUAACCACAGUCUCAGAGCAGCUACCACAGCAUGUAAGCUGGACUCACCUAGGGGCAAGUGUAGGGCAACCAGAGGGUAUGGGCUGAGAGGUAAGAAAGGAGAGUGGUAGAAGCCAGCUGGAAAUGAAAAGAAAUUCCAAAGACAGAAUGUCAUGAUGAAUAACAAUCAAGAAAACAUUCCAGUAGAAUUUUAAAAAGUAUGUUCCAGUUUACAUUUAGGUAUGGUAAAAGUCAAUGCCCCGUUAAAUAGUUCAAAUACAUUUUCAUGUAAAUUACGGUUUUAAUUCAAGAAUUAGUUAAAAAUCUAGUAUCUAGAUUCCAUUCUCAUUCAGGAAUGACAAUUUGAGGUAGAAUUCAGUCUGGAUAAAUUUGAGGCCCCUAUAGUACAAUACUCGAGGCAAAGGGAAUAGUAUUUGUGAAAGCCUAGAAACAAGAGGAAGCAGGGUACACUGAGACACUAGAGCUUAGUAUGUUUGAUUAGAGACCGUGGGAGGCUGCUGAUCAUGAGGGGCUUAUGAGCCAGCAGACAGAAAAAACAUCAAACUCAGAAGUGGCUCUUAUGGCACUGAUUAAGAGGCAGAAAUUACUCACACUUGGGGCCCUCUUGACGUAUGGGACAUCCCACUGCACUUUCUCUUCAAGCAAGCAGCAGCUAUUCUGAUUACAGGGUCUCACUAUGUAGCCCAGGCUGGCCUUGAACUUACA